rnacentral:rRNA from 1 species
GACGAACGCUGGCGGCGUGCUUAACACAUGCCAGUCGAACGGAAAGGCCUCUUUCGGGGGGUACUCGAGUGGCGAACGGGUGAGUAACACGUGAGUAACCUGCCCUUGACUUUGGGAUAACUUCAGGAAACUGGGGCUAAUACCGGAUAGGAGCUCCUGCUGCAUGGUGGGGGUUGGAAAGUUUCGGCGGUUGGGGAUGGACUCGCGGCUUAUCAGCUUGUUGGUGGGGUAGUGGCUUACCAAGGCUUUGACGGGUAGCCGGCCUGAGAGGGUGACCGGCCACAUUGGGACUGAGAUACGGCCCAGACCCCUACGGGAGGCAGCAGUGGGGAAUAUUGCACAAUGGGUGGAAGCCUGAUGCAGCAACGCCGUGUGCGGGAUGACGGCCUUCGGGUUGUAAACCGCUUUCGCUCAUGACGAAGCUUUGUGUGACGGUAGUGGGUAAAGAAGCACCGGCUAACUACGUG